GACAGAGGGUGCAAACGUUGUUCGGAAUUACUGGGCGUAAAGCGCGUGUAGGCGGCCCUGCAAGUCGGAUGUGAAAUCCCACGGCUCAACCGUGGAAGUGCAUUCGAAACUGCAGGGCUAGAGUCCUGGAGAGGAAGGUGGAAUGCUUGGUGUAGAGGUGAAAUGCGUAGAUAUCGGGAGGAACACCAGUGGCGAAGGCGGCGACCUGGACGGACACUGACGCUGAGACGCGAAAGCGUGGGGAGCAAACAGG
rnacentral:rRNA from 1 species